GUGAGGAAUAUUGGUCAAUGGGCGGGAGCCUGAACCAGCCAAGUCGCGUGAAGGAAGAAGGAUCUAUGGUUCGUAAACUUCUUUUGCAGGGGAAUAAAGUGCGGGACGUGUCCUGUUUUGUAUGUACCCUGAGAAUAAGGAUCGGCUAACUCCGUGCCAGCAGCCGCGGUAAUACGGAGGAUCCGAGCGUUAUCCGGAUUUAUUGGGUGUAAAGGGUGCGUAGGUGGUUUGAUAAGUCAGCGGUGAAAGUUUGCAGCUUAACUGUAAAAAUGCCGUUGAAACUGUCGGACUUGAGUGUAAAUGAGGUAGGCGGAAUGCGUGGUGUAGCGGUGAAAUGCAUAGAUAUCACGCAGAACUCCGAUUGCGAAGGCAGCUUACUAAGCUACAACUGACACUGAAGCACGAAAGCGUGGGGAUCAAACAGGAUUAGAUACCCGUGUAGUCC
rnacentral:rRNA from 1 species